CUCAAUUGGUGGCACACUUGGACAAGUUCUUGGUGGGCAACCGUGUACUUUUAAAAUAGAACACGAAUUCACAAAGCCCGCCUCAAUGAGCGGGCUUUUUAUU
rfam:Vibrio anguillarum 775 chromosome I, complete sequence.